rnacentral:lncRNA from 1 species
GGGGACAUCAGGUAGAGAGACUCAUUCAGACCUGGGGACAUCAGGUAGAGAGACUCAUUCAGACCUGGGGACAUCAGGUAGGAAGAGAAAGCAGAAAUGUUUUGGCCCUCAGGACCUGAAUAAUACUUUGACAUUGAAACACAACAGCUAUACAUAACUAGGUGAAAGCAGACCUGACGCAACACACACACACACACAAUAAGCACACGCACACACACACACACACACACACACACACAAUAAGCACACUGUGGUAAGACUGUUUUGGGUUGCAUUUUGUCUGCAUUUAGCCAAUCUGUAACAAUCAGAAGAAUAAAAUACACAUCCAAACAUCUUGACCUUUCAACAAACAGCAAGAUGGAAAUGAACCUUGUGAAGGAAACAGCAACAUAAAGUGUUUUAAUAGGAGGUAACUGGCAGAAUAAAGGAAACUCCAGGUCCUCCACCAACCACCAGGUAACUGGCAGAAUAAAGGAAACUCCAACAGUGUUUUAAUAGGAGGUCGGGUCGUCCACCAGGUAACUGGCAGAAUAAAGGAAACACCAACAGUGUUUUAAUAGGAGGUCGGGUCAUCCACCAGGUAACUGGCAGAAUAAAGGAAACUCCAACAGUGUUUUAAUAGGAGGUCGGGUCGUCCACCAGGUAACUGGCAGAAUAAAGGAAACUCCAGGUCCACCAACCACCAGGUAACUGGCAGAAUAAAGGAAACUCCAACAUAGUGUUUUAAUAGGAGGUCGGGUCGUCCACCAGGUAACUGGCAGAAUAAAGGAAACUCCAACAUAGUGUUUUAAUAGGAGGUCGGGUCGUCCACCAGGUAACUGGCAGAAUAAAGGAAACUCCAACAGUGUUUUAAUAAGAGGUCGGGUCGUCCACCAGGUAACUGGCAGAAUAAAGGAAACUCCAACAGUGUUUUAAUAAGAGGUCGGGUCGUCCACCAG